AAAAACGUCAAUACCAAAAAAAGGGUUUCAGACCCGUGUCCAAUCUUCUCUAACACAGAAUUUCAGAUCGAGAGAGAAUCGAGAGAGAGAGGAGGGAGAGAAUGUCGAGAAUAUGGAGAGCUUGUGCGCGGGUGAUGGAGAAUUUUGAUGAAAACAGGACAGCGCAGCGAUUGUUAAGCAUAGCGGUAUAUGGAUGUAUAGGCUCAGGGGCUUGGUACUGUAGUGGCUUAAGACCUCACCCUCCUCCUGGUAACCCUUACCACUCUGACUACCAACCUCCCCCAGUCGAAGAUUAAUCGCCUUUUCGACUCUGGCUCACCCCGAUAAUUUCUUAGACCAGAAUCACUCUACUGCUGGUUAUGUUAAAUAAUAUCUCACCUAAUUACUUUUGUGUAAUGUAAUGUAAUUAUGUAGAUUAUCAGUUUUAUUGCUCGUUUAUGUGAUUAGAGUUAACGGUGAUUAUUUAAUGAAAAAUUACAAGUAUAUCAGUUUUAUUGCU